UUAAGCGACUAAGCGUACACGGUGGAUGCCCUGGCAGUCAGAGGCGAUGAAGGACGUGCUAAUCUGCGAAAAGCGUCGGUAAGGUGAUAUGAACCGUUAUAACCGGCGAUGUCCGAAUGGGGAAACCCAGUGCAAUUCGUUGCACUAUCGUUAACUGAAUACAUAGGUUAACGAGGCGAACCGGGGGAACUGAAACAUCUAAGUACCCCGAGGAAAAGAAAUCAACCGAGAUUCCCCCAGUAGCGGCGAGCGAACGGGGAGCAGCCCAGAGUCUGAAUCAGCUUGUGUGUUAGUGGAACGGUCUGGAAAGUCCGACGGUACAGGGUGAUAGUCCCGUACACCAAAAUGCACAGGCUGUGAACUCGAAGAGUAGGGCGGGACACGUGGUAUCCUGUCUGAAUAUGGGGGGACCAUCCUCCAAGGCUAAAUACUCCUGACUGACCGAUAGUGAACCAGUACCGUGAGGGAAAGGCGAAAAGAACCCCGGCGAGGGGAGUGAAAAAGAACCUGAAACCGUGUACGUACAAGCAGUGGGAGCACCUUCGGGUGUGACUGCGUACCUUUUGUAUAAUGGGUCAGCGACUUAUAUUCUGUAGCAAGGUUAACCGUAUAGGGGAGCCGCAGGGAAACCGAGUCUUAACUGGGCGUUAAGUUGCAGGGUAUAGACCCGAAACCCGGUGAUCUAGCCAUGGGCAGGUUGAAGGUUGGGUAACACUAACUGGAGGACCGAACCGACUAAUGUUGAAAAAUUAGCGGAUGACUUGUGGCUGGGGGUGAAAGGCCAAUCAAACCGGGAGAUAGCUGGUUCUCCCCGAAAGCUAUUUAGGUAGCGCCUCGUGAACUCAUCUUCGGGGGUAGAGCACUGUUUCGGCUAGGGGGUCAUCCCGACUUACCAACCCGAUGCAAACUACGAAUACCGAAGAAUGUUAUCACGGGAGACACACGGCGGGUGCUAACGUCCGUCGUGAAGAGGGAAACAACCCAGACCGCCAGCUAAGGUCCCAAAGUCAUGGUUAAGUGGGAAACGAUGUGGGAAGGCACAGACAGCCAGGAUGUUGGCUUAGAAGCAGCCAUCAUUUAAAGAAAGCGUAAUAGCUCACUGGUCGAGUCGGCCUGCGCGGAAGAUGUAACGGGGCUAAACCAUGCACCGAAGCUGCGGCAGCGACACUAUGUGUUGUUGGGUAGGGGAGCGUUCUGUAAGCCUGCGAAGGUGUGCUGUGAGGCAUGCUGGAGGUAUCAGAAGUGCGAAUGCUGACAUAAGUAACGAUAAAGCGGGUGAAAAGCCCGCUCGCCGGAAGACCAAGGGUUCCUGUCCAACGUUAAUCGGGGCAGGGUGAGUCGACCCCUAAGGCGAGGCCGAAAGGCGUAGUCGAUGGGAAACAGGUUAAUAUUCCUGUACUUGGUGUUACUGCGAAGGGGGGACGGAGAAGGCUAUGUUAGCCGGGCGACGGUUGUCCCGGUUUAAGCAUGUAGGCUGGUUGUCCAGGCAAAUCCGGAUAAUCAAGGCUGAGGUGUGAUGACGAGGCACUACGGUGCUGAAGUAACAAAUGCCCUGCUUCCAGGAAAAGCCUCUAAGCAUCAGGUAACAUCAAAUCGUACCCCAAACCGACACAGGUGGUCAGGUAGAGAAUACCAAGGCGCUUGAGAGAACUCGGGUGAAGGAACUAGGCAAAAUGGUGCCGUAACUUCGGGAGAAGGCACGCUGGUGUGUAGGUGAAGUCCCUGCGGAUGGAGCUGAGACCAGUCGAAGAUACCAGCUGGCUGCAACUGUUUAUUAAAAACACAGCACUGUGCAAACACGAAAGUGGACGUAUACGGUGUGACGCCUGCCCGGUGCCGGAAGGUUAAUUGAUGGGGUUAUCCGUAAGGAGAAGCUCUUGAUCGAAGCCCCGGUAAACGGCGGCCGUAACUAUAACGGUCCUAAGGUAGCGAAAUUCCUUGUCGGGUAAGUUCCGACCUGCACGAAUGGCGUAAUGAUGGCCAGGCUGUCUCCACCCGAGACUCAGUGAAAUUGAACUCGCUGUGAAGAUGCAGUGUACCCGCGGCAAGACGGAAAGACCCCGUGAACCUUUACUAUAGCUUGACACUGAACAUUGAGCCUUGAUGUGUAGGAUAGGUGGGAGGCUUUGAAGCGUGGACGCCAGUCUGCGUGGAGCCAACCUUGAAAUACCACCCUUUAAUGUUUGAUGUUCUAACGUUGGCCCCUGACCGGGGUUGCGGACAGUGUCUGGUGGGUAGUUUGACUGGGGCGGUCUCCUCCCAAAGCGUAACGGAGGAGCACGAAGGUUAGCUAAUCCUGGUCGGACAUCAGGAGGUUAGUGCAAUGGCAUAAGCUAGCUUGACUGCGAGCGUGACGGCGCGAGCAGGUGCGAAAGCAGGUCAUAGUGAUCCGGUGGUUCUGAAUGGAAGGGCCAUCGCUCAACGGAUAAAAGGUACUCCGGGGAUAACAGGCUGAUACCGCCCAAGAGUUCAUAUCGACGGCGGUGUUUGGCACCUCGAUGUCGGCUCAUCACAUCCUGGGGCUGAAGUAGGUCCCAAGGGUAUGGCUGUUCGCCAUUUAAAGUGGUACGCGAGCUGGGUUUAGAACGUCGUGAGACAGUUCGGUCCCUAUCUGCCGUGGGCGCUGGAGAAUUGAGGGGGGCUGCUCCUAGUACGAGAGGACCGGAGUGGACGCAUCACUGGUGUUCGGGUUGUCAUGCCAAUGGCACUGCCCGGUAGCUAAAUGCGGAAGAGAUAAGUGCUGAAAGCAUCUAAGCACGAAACUUGCCCCGAGAUGAGUUCUCCCUGAGACUUUAAGUCUCCUGAAGGAACGUUGAAGACGACGACGUUGAUAGGCCGGGUGUGUAAGCGCAGCGAUGCGUUGAGCUAACCGGUACUAAUGAACCGUGAGGCUUAACCUU
rnacentral:rRNA from 3 species